ACCAUACCUCAGGAGAUACCUUACGUGCCUCUCCAACCGAGGUACAUAUAUAUAUCUGGAUUCUGUGCCCCUCUAAUAGGCUGGUCCACAGAACCCGCCUACUGCAGCAAGCUAAACCCACCAUACAAUAAAAUUUUAACAGCAUGACAAGGCUAAUAUAAUACUACCCAGCCUGCAAGGGUAAAAUAAAAUAAUUCAUACAAUUCAUAAAACACAGCCCAACCAAUCAAGCCAACACAAUAACAAUAUAACAUAAGCCAUCAAUUUCCAAUCAUAAAUUUGCAACAUGCCAGUGGUCUCCAAUUACUCUAUUUUCCAAAUCGUUAUUUCAUUUCAAGACAAUUUAUAAAGUCUUUUCAUUUAAACACAUUUUGUUUACAAAACAUAAAAAUUUACCAUUUUAACUCAUUAUCAUAAAAUUCACCAAAACCGAAUAAAAACAUACUUUAGAUAAUUAAAAUGAUGGUAAGGUUACUCACAAUGUCUAGAGUGGGGAUUUUCGAAAUACUCAGACUACUGGUCAUCGAAUGCAAUUCUCGGAGGACUCACCACCUUGACACAGUACAAAAUCGAGAAAUUCACCACAUUGGUACUAAAUUGCAAUUAAACUAAUUUAGACUACUAAUGCAUGAUAUGGAAUGCAAAAGGUCUAAAUUUUGCCUAAACACCGUAUUGACUUAUUUUGGUCUUUUACUCGAUAAAUUGAAAUACGCAUCCAAUUUAGCUCCCAUUGAUCCCAUUUCUUUUUCUAAUGCUUCAAAUCACCAAUGUCUAGCCAAAUAACCCAAAAAUCAGCAAAGCCACAUUCAUAUUCCUUCUUGGAAAAAUUCGACCAAAAUGGUGCAUCAUUGUCACAAUUUUUCGUACUGGAUUUUCUUUCCAUAAUUCAUUAAUUUCCAUAUCAAAAACCAUGAUUUCAUAAUCAAAUAACCUAAAAUAAUAUCACAUUCUUCCUCACCAUUGACUUGAAAAUUCAGCUAAGGCUAGGUAAUGGGAAAAAUGAAUGUUUUUUGUACAUAUUUUGUUUACUAACAUGCUAAACUAACACUAAACACUAACAUAUAUCAAAAUCAAAUCAAUUCAAAAAUUUUCUCUCUCUAGACACAUAUGACCAGCCAUGAAAUCACCAUGAAAACAUGCAAUUUAAUCAUGAAAAAUAAGGAGAAAUGCUUGGGAAUAAGAAAACUCAAGCUUAAUAGAAAAAAUCUUAC
rnacentral:lncRNA from 1 species